GAUGAACGCUGACAGAAUGCUUAACACAUGCAAGUCUACUUGAAUUUGGGUUUUUUAACUUAGAUUUGGGUGGCGGACGGGUGAGUAACGCGUAAAGAACUUGCCUCACAGCUAGGGACAACAUUUGGAAACGAAUGCUAAUACCUGAUAUUAUGAUUAUAAGGCAUCUUAGACUUAUGAAAGCUAUAUGCGCUGUGAGAGAGCUUUGCGUCCCAUUAGCUAGUUGGAGAGGUAACGGCUCACCAAGGCGAUGAUGGGUAGCCGGCCUGAGAGGGUGAACGGCCACAAGGGGACUGAGACACGGCCCUUACUCCUACGGGAGGCAGCAGUGGGGAAUAUUGGACAAUGGACCAAGAGUCUGAUCCAGCAAUUCUGUGUGCACGAUGACGUUUUUCGGAAUGUAAAGUGCUUUCAGUUGGGAAGAAAAAAAUGACGGCACCAACAGAAGAAGUGACGGCUAAAUACGUG
rnacentral:rRNA from 1 species